UGCCAGCCGCCGCGGUAAUACGGAGGGUGCAGGCGUUGUUCGGAAUUAUUGGGCGUAAAGAGCAUGUAGGCGGACUGUUAAGUCUGGCGUGAAAGCCCGGGGCUCAACCCCGGAACUGCGGGGUGAACUGCUGGACUUGAGAAAGGUAGGGGCUGAUGGAACCAUGAGUGGAGCGGUGAAAUGCGUAGAUAUUCAUGGGAACGCCGAUGGGGAAGCCGAUCAGCUGGGCCUUUUCUGACGCUCAUGCACGAAAGCGUGGGGAGCAAACAGGAUUAGAUA
rnacentral:rRNA from 1 species